rnacentral:lncRNA from 13 species
CAUUGCAAGUAUCUUGUAGUCACUGUUUUUUCUUUGAAUUUUUAUUUUUAGAUGUCACAGGAAUUACAGAGAACUACAAACAUUCAGUGACUAGUGACCAGAUGCUCUGCAAUGCUAGAACAGGCUUCGGAAAAAGAAGACUCAUACCAUUUUCUGCACUACUUUGGAAUAUCCCACCAGAUGUUAUUGACUCAAUUCAAAGAAUACUUGAAAUUACACAAGUAAAAGGUAAGAAAGCAAGAUGUAAGGGGGAGGGGUGGCAUAGUUUUCUAAUUUUGCUUUCUGCUGAGU